AAUCCCAGCACUUUGGGAAGGCCAAAGGAUCACUUAAACCAAGGAGUUUGAGACCAGCCUGGGCAAUGUAGGAAGACCUCAUCUCUAUUAAAUAAAAAAAGAAAAGAAAAAGAUGAUCUAAAUCUUAUUAAAGUAAAUAUAAAAAAGAAAUACUCCCCACAUCAUUCUGUAAGGCCAGUAUAACCCUGAUUCUAAAACCAGACAAGGACAGUACAUGAGAGGAAACAUGUUUAAUUUCACUCCUGAAUAUAAACCCUUUUAAAAUUUAGCAGACCCACAAGUAAAUUAAAAUGCAUUACAGUCCAAUAAAAGCUUUGGGUUUUUUCUUUACGACUAUCCCAUGACAUAGUUUAGUGUAUCAUGGAACUAUAAAGAUUGUUUACUAUCAGGAAAUCUGUAAUAACAUUGGAAAACAAAAGCUGAAAAGCCUUCGGAUCAUUUCAAAAGAUGCAGAAAAACCAUCUGAUAAAAAUCCAAUAUAAAUUGAUGAUAAAAUUAAGAAUAUAGGCCAGGCACGGUGGCUCACACCUGUAAUCCCAAAGUGCUGGGAUUACAGGCGUGAGCCACUGCGCCCGGCGCCAACACCUAAUUUUUAAAGCGUAUAAUCAUUUGAUAAUUUCUACAGAUGCUAAAAAGGUAUGACAAAAUUCAGUAUCUAUUCAUGUGUAAAAUGCUCAAUACAACAGGAAUUGAAGGUAUUUCUUAAUGUGAUAAUAUAGAACGGGCAGGAAUUUAUAAAAUGUGGGGACAUCAGUAUCUGCCAUAUAGGACUUUCGAAAGGAUAAGACAUUUACAUUCAGAAAGUCAAGUAUCACUGAGCCUGGCCUAAGGCCAGAACUCAAUACAUGGCAGUGGCAGGCACACACUAUUUUGGAGAUAACGAUGCACAAGUACUAUUUUUCUAACACAAAUGGGAGUUCUUACGGCUGUGUGAGAAAGGCCAGGGUGCUCACCUUCCAGCCAAGAGCAUGCAGCCCCACCACGGCUCCAUAG
rnacentral:lncRNA from 1 species